GUAUAGCUAGUUUUUUAGAUAAGUUUAUUGAAAAGGUUCAUCUACUAUUCAUUUGCUUCAACCUCACGGGUAAAUGUAACACAAGAAAGUUAAAAGAAUGGGUCACACAAGCAACAAUAUGAAAUCUCUAUUAGCAUUUCUACUUUGUACAAGACCAAGUGCAUCCAAAGAACAGAUAUUGUCACAGUUCUAUAAUCAUUUAAAAAAGGCAAGUUUGAUGAGGCUGGUUCAUCUGGAACAGGUUUGUAAAUUCAAGCGAAUGAAGACAGAUUGGAAAUCUUCCAAGCCGAGGAUAAGCCUGCAGACAAGACCCAGCAGAUUUAACAAAUAAUUCUUUUCGGCCUAAGACGAGCAGCAGCCACUCUUCUGUGCAAAAGGCUGUCCACGGAUCUGCACUGUGGGAGGUCUUGCAUUGUUCGUAGCUGGCUGACUUGCCAUUCUAUCCUUUAUAGCAGCAGCCAUGGCCAUGAAAGCCU
rnacentral:misc_RNA from 1 species